rnacentral:misc_RNA from 1 species
UCCGGUUUGUCACCGGCAGUCUCCCUAGAGUGCCCAACUAAAUGAUGGCAAAUAAGGACAAGGGUUGCGCUCGUUACGGGACUUAACCCAACAUCUCACGACACGAGCUGACGACAGCCAUGCAGCACCUGUCACUGCGCUCCCGAAGGCACCCCAGUGUCUCCACCGGGUUCGCAGGAUGUCAAGAGUAGGUAAGGUUCUUCGCGUUGCGUCGAAUUAAACCACAUGCUCCACCGCUUGUGCGGGCCCCCGUCAAUUCAUUUGAGUUUUAAUCUUGCGACCGUACUCCCCAGGCGGUCAACUUAGUGCGUUAGCUGCGCCACUAAAGGCAUUACGCCCCCAACGGCUAGUUGACAUCGUUUACGGCGUGGACUAC